rnacentral:rRNA from 1 species
AUUGAACGCUGGCGGCAUGCCUUACACAUGCAAGUCGAACGGUAACAGGUCUUCGGAUGCUGACGAGUGGCGAACGGGUGAGUAAUACAUCGGAACGUGCCCAGACGUGGGGGAUAACGAGGCGAAAGCUUUGCUAAUACCGCAUACGAUCUAAGGAUGAAAGCAGGGGACCGCAAGGCCUUGCGCGUUUGGAGCGGCCGAUGGCAGAUUAGGUAGUUGGUGGGAUAAAAGCUUACCAAGCCGACGAUCUGUAGCUGGUCUGGGAGGACGACCAGCCACACUGGGACUGAGACACGGCCCAGACUCCUACGGGAGGCAGCAGUGGGGAAUUUUGGACAAUGGGCGAAAGCCUGAUCCAGCAAUGCCGCGUGCAGGAUGAAGGCCUUCGGGUUGUAAACUGCUUUUGUACGGAACGAAAAGGCUCUGGCUAAUACCUGGGGCACAUGACGGUACCGUAAGAAUAAGCACCGGCUAACUACGUG